rnacentral:rRNA from 1 species
UUCCAAAAACAUCGCCUUCUGAUACUCAUAGAAGGUCCAGCCUGCCCAGUGACUAAGUUAAACGGCCGCGGUACCCUAACCGUGCAAAGGUAGCGCAAUCACUUGUUCUUUAAAUGAGGACUAGUAUGAACGGCAUCACGAGGGUUACACUGUCUCCCUAUUCCAUUCAGUGAAACUGAUCUUCCCGUGAAGAAGCGGGAAUAUAAAUAUAAGACGAGAAGACCCCAUGGAGCUUUAAACUCAGUGUCAUCUGCCACUUCAAUACCCCCUUAAUUACGCAGACCAUGAUAACUAGUUUUCGGUUGGGGUGACCGCGGAGUAAAACAAAACCUCCACAACGAAAGGAACUAACAACCUAAUCCAAGAGCAACAUCUCUAAGAAUCAACAAAUUGACUUAAUUGAUCCAAUUACUUGAUCAACGAACCAAGUUACCCUGGGGAUAACAGCGCAAUCCAUUUCAAGAGCUCAUAUCGACAAAUGGGUUUACGACCUCGAUGUUGGAUCAGGGUAUCCCAGUGGCGCAGCAGCUACUAACGG